rnacentral:rRNA from 1 species
UACGAAGGGGCUAGCGUUGCUCGGAAUCACUGGGCGUAAAGCGCACGUAGGCGGAUCGUUAAGUCAGGGGUGAAAUCCCAGAGCUCAACUCCAGAACUGCCUUCGAUACUGGGAGUCUCGAGUCCGGGAGAGGUGAGUGGAACUGCGAGUGUAGAGGUGAAAUUCGUAGAUAUUCGCAAGAACACCAGUGGCGAAGGCGGCUCACUGGCCCGGUACUGACGCUGAGGUGCGAAAGCGUGGGGAGCAAACAGG